rnacentral:rRNA from 1 species
GAUGAACGCUGGCGGCGUGCCUAAUACAUGCAAGUCGAGCGAACGGACGAGAAGCUUGCUUCUCUGAUGUUAGCGGCGGACGGGUGAGUAACACGUGGAUAACCUACCUAUAAGACUGGGAUAACUUCGGGAAACCGGAGCUAAUACCGGAUAAUAUUUUGAACCGCAUGGUUCAAAAGUGAAAGACGGUCUUGCUGUCACUUAUAGAUGGAUCCGCGCUGCAUUAGCUAGUUGGUAAGGUAACGGCUUACCAAGGCAACGAUGCAUAGCCGACCUGAGAGGGUGACCGGCCACACUGGAACUGAGACACGGUCCAGACUCCUACGGGAGGCAGCAGUAGGGAAUCUUCCGCAAUGGGCGAAAGCCUGACGGAGCAACGCCGCGUGAGUGAUGAAGGUCUUCGGAUCGUAAAACUCUGUUAUUAGGGAAGAACAUAUGUGUAAGUAACUGUGCACAUCUUGACGGUACCUAAUCAGAAAGCCACGGCUAACUACGUG